ACUUAAAUUGAAGAGUUUGAUCAUGGCUCAGAUUGAACGCUGGCGGCAGGCCUAACACAUGCAAGUCGAGCGGUAGCACAGAGAGCUUGCUCUCGGGUGACGAGCGGCGGACGGGUGAGUAAUGUCUGGGAAACUGCCUGAUGGAGGGGGAUAACUACUGGAAACGGUAGCUAAUACCGCAUAACGUCGCAAGACCAAAGUGGGGGACCUUCGGGCCUCAUGCCAUCAGAUGUGCCCAGAUGGGAUUAGCUAGUAGGUGGGGUAACGGCUCACCUAGGCGACGAUCCCUAGCUGGUCUGAGAGGAUGACCAGCCACACUGGAACUGAGACACGGUCCAGACUCCUACGGGAGGCAGCAGUGGGGAAUAUUGCACAAUGGGCGCAAGCCUGAUGCAGCCAUGCCGCGUGUGUGAAGAAGGCCUUCGGGUUGUAAAGCACUUUCAGCGGGGAGGAAGGCGUAAGGUUAAUAACCUUUCGAUUGACGUUACCCGCAGAAGAAGCACCGGCUAACUCCGUGCCAGCAGCCGCGGUAAUACGGAGGGUGCAAGCGUUAAUCGGAAUUACUGGGCGUAAAGCGCACGCAGGCGGUCUGUCAAGUCGGAUGUGAAAUCCCCGGGCUCAACCUGGGAACUGCAUUCGAAACUGGCAGGCUAGAGUCUUGUAGAGGGGGGUAGAAUUCCAGGUGUAGCGGUGAAAUGCGUAGAGAUCUGGAGGAAUACCGGUGGCGAAGGCGGCCCCCUGGACAAAGACUGACGCUCAGGUGCGAAAGCGUGGGGAGCAAACAGGAUUAGAUACCCUGGUAGUCCACGCCGUAAACGAUGUCGAUUUGGAGGUUGUGCCCUUGAGGCGUGGCUUCCGGAGCUAACGCGUUAAAUCGACCGCCUGGGGAGUACGGCCGCAAGGUUAAAACUCAAAUGAAUUGACGGGGGCCCGCACAAGCGGUGGAGCAUGUGGUUUAAUUCGAUGCAACGCGAAGAACCUUACCUGGUCUUGACAUCCACAGAACUUUCCAGAGAUGGAUUGGUGCCUUCGGGAACUGUGAGACAGGUGCUGCAUGGCUGUCGUCAGCUCGUGUUGUGAAAUGUUGGGUUAAGUCCCGCAACGAGCGCAACCCUUAUCCUUUGUUGCCAGCGGUCCGGCCGGGAACUCAAAGGAGACUGCCAGUGAUAAACUGGAGGAAGGUGGGGAUGACGUCAAGUCAUCAUGGCCCUUACGACCAGGGCUACACACGUGCUACAAUGGCAUAUACAAAGAGAAGCGACCUCGCGAGAGCAAGCGGACCUCAUAAAGUAUGUCGUAGUCCGGAUUGGAGUCUGCAACUCGACUCCAUGAAGUCGGAAUCGCUAGUAAUCGUAGAUCAGAAUGCUACGGUGAAUACGUUCCCGGGCCUUGUACACACCGCCCGUCACACCAUGGGAGUGGGUUGCAAAAGAAGUAGGUAGCUUAACCUUCGGGAGGGCGCUUACCACUUUGUGAUUCAUGACUGGGGUGAAGUCGUAACAAGGUAACCGUAGGGGAACCUGCGGUUGGAUCACCUCCUUACCUUAAAGAA
rnacentral:rRNA from 1 species